ensembl:lncRNA
GGAUGGGUUGCCAUUUCCUCCUCCAGAGGAUCUUCCUGACCCAGGGAUCGAACCCACAUCUCUUGUCUCCUGCAUUGGCAGGUGGAUUCUUUACCACUGCACCACCUGGGAAGUCCUCAAAGUGUAUCUAAAUGUACGUAAAUGUAGUACCUAAGAUUGUAAAACUUCUGGAAGGAACGUAGAAGGAGAACUCUGUGACUUCAGCCACCUGGACCUCACACCUGGAAGCUGUGCAAGACACAGCUGCAGAGGCCUGAGUUGUGUUUCCCCAUCUCCUGCCUUCCUGGUCCUCCUGGCGACAUUUACUUCCUAGAGACGUUUGCAGGUUGUUGGUUACUUCCAAGUAAAUGCAGAACUGAAGGGAAAGAGCCAGAAAUUACAUCCGUUCAAAAAUAUCCUGCCUCUCUCACAGAUAAAUAUAGCAACAUGGGUAGACGUGCCACCGAAUAAAACUCUCAAAACAAAUCCGGGAAGAAUCACUUGAAGAGGCUGCCACUGCUGGCUCUGUCCUGCGGUUCCUCUGUCCCCCAUCUCCCGACCCCACGCUCCCCGCAGCGACCAGGAGGGAGAGCGAGGAGGGAGGUCUGUGCCAUUUUCCCCCAGCAUUCUGGCCAAGGGGAGGGGUGGCAGGAGCAAUGAUGCUCCUUCAGGGGUUGCUGGUCAGAGGGGCUCGAUCGCCAGUGUCCCCUCACCACCAGGGGGAAGAGUUUGAGAGACCACUUCUCUCUGUGACAGAACAGGAGGACAGCCCCACAGAGACGUAUUUACCAAGCAUGGCGGCUGGAACUAAGGACCCGUGACUUGGACUCAAGGGCACCAUUAAAACCAUUUGGCCACCAGCACAGCAGAGACACCUACCAGCCAGAAUGGACAUUGCCAGAGGGAAGGUGCAGUCAUCCUAGCACUGCAUGCCAGCUGAGACUCAGCCCCCCGUAGAGGCACAUGCAGUCAGUCCUUCCAGCAGCCUAUGAAGGAGGCAUCAUCAUCCCAUUUUUCAGAUGGGGAGACUGAGGACAGGAGUGAUUCAGUG